rnacentral:lncRNA from 1 species
AUCUGUAUCAUGACUUAUGUUCUAAUUUAUCUGCCACCCUCAAGUAUGUUGCUUCCAUGAGCAAUUGUUCUGAUUCAUUCAGAGUUUGUUUGACAUCAGCUCCUGCAAGUUCAGUUCACUUUAACCAACUCAGGUGUUAAACUGGGGCAUAAACAUUCCUCAAGAAGGUCGCUGAAACUUUCUUCCUGGCACCCAGAGGCAAGAUAAGAUCUAUAUUUAGCACUGUAAAAAAAGUUAUUUCCUUGUUUGUUUAAUGGAAAUUGAAUUUGGAAAUUGAAGGUAGCAGACAUCAGUUCUUUGCAGUUUUUGCUUAUUGGAGAUUUUGUAGUUCAUUUUCACCUUCCUUCAGCCAAUGGUAUAGUGCCGUGUAGUGUAUGAGAGAUUCAGGUCAAAGACAUGAAAAAUAUAAUAUAUAACAAUUAUAAACAACAGGAAUUUUGGGUUCAUAUCCUGCAUUUUUGUCUGAGAUACCGACAUAUAUAACCAAACUUGCCAAAUUCUUCUAAGUAGUGUGUGUGUAUGUGGUUUAAAAAUGCAAGCAACCCCAUCAAAGGGCCUCCAGCUUUUUGAUUCUUUGAGAAAUGAAUAAUAUUCAGCACAUUUUUUGGAAACCGCAUUUAAGUCAACCCUGAAAGUGGGGCUGGACAUUUAAUAUUCAGAGAAUUUUAACAGCUUCAACAUGAACUAGGAAAAAGUAGAGUUGCAUUUUGGAUCCUGCUGUCUGCCAAAAUAAUACCCUUGCAUAUUUUUAAUCUUCACAGCACUUUGCAGACAAUGAACGGACAGGUUUAGGUGCUUCGGUCUGGAGCUCUGAGCUUGGUGGUUCUUAGUAUAUGUCACGGCCAAAAAAAAUCCUAAGGCUCAAGAAGGUGGGGGUUGCGAUGUCAGGCGUUCGGGAGUUAGGAACACGCUGUUAUUAAAAUCUGCUUGUGCAACUCGGUCAGUGCCCUCAUCAAAGGGCCAGACUAGCGCUCUUCCUUGAUCCUUCUUUCGGACCAAGUGCAGCUUGGACAUGGCCCCGCUGCCUGGAGCGUGCUCGCCCAUGUGGGGCCCGUGGCAGGGGAGCAAUCCCGGCUCCGGAGCUCAGUGCUCUGGUUUUCCAGGCUGGGUUGCUUGACUGCCUGUUACAGUUUCCACAGGGCUCUAGUUUCACUCAGUGAAGUUUUUUUCAUUUCUUUCUUUUUUUUUUUNUUUUUUUUUGUUAUUUUGAUAUUUUUCUGAUGCUACCAAAAAUCUUACGGGCACUAAUUUGGGCGGCUUCCCUGAGAGCUUGGGCAAUCUUAUCAUUCACAUUUUGCAACUGAGGAAAUAAAGACAAGCUUGCUUAAAAUGUCUUCUGGAGU